rnacentral:rRNA from 1 species
UACGGGGGAUGCAAGCGUUAUCCGGAAUCAUUGGGCGUAAAGCGCCUGUAGGUUGUUUAAUAAGUCUGUUGUUAAAGACUGGGGCUCAACCCCAGAAAAGCAAUGGAAACUACUAGACUAGAGUAUGGCAGGGGUAGAGGGAAUUUCUAGUGUAGCGGUGAAAUGCGUAGAUAUUAGAAAGAACACCGGUGGCGAAAGCGCUCUACUGGACCAUUACUGACACUCAGAGGCGAAAGCUAGGGUAGCAAAAGGGAUUAGAUACCCCUGUAGUCCUAGCCGUAAACGAUGGAUACUAGAUGUUGUGCUUAAAGUACAGUAUCGUAGCUAACGCGUUAAGUAUCCCGCCUGGGGAGUACGCUCGCAAGGGUG